rnacentral:rRNA from 1 species
UUUUUAAGUCUGAUGUGAAAGCCCACGGCUCAACCGUGGAGGGUCAUUGGAAACUGGAAAACUUGAGUGCAGAAGAGGAAAGUGGAAUUCCAUGUGUAGCGGUGAAAUGCGCAGAGAUAUGGAGGAACACCAGUGGCGAAGGCGACUUUCUGGUCUGUAACUGACGCUGAUGUGCGAAAGCGUGGGGAUCAAACAGGAUUAGAUACCCUGGUAGUCCACGCCGUAAACGAUGAGUGCUAAGUGUUAGGGGGUUUCCGCCCCUUAGUGCUGCAGCUAACGCAUUAAGCACUCCGCCUGGGGAGACGCGAAGAACCUUACCAAAUCUUGACAUCCUUUGACAACUCUAGAGAUAGAGCCUUCCCCUUCGGGGGACAAAGUGACAGGUGGUGCAUGGUUGUCGUCAGCUCGUGUCGUGAGAUGUUGGGUUAAGUCCCGCAACGAGCGCAACCCUUAAGCUUAGUUGCCAUCAUUAAGUUGGGCACUCUAAGUUGACUGCCGGUGACAAACCGGAGGAAGGUGGGGAUGACGUCAAAUCAUCAUGCCCCUUAUGAUU